CACACCACACACACACACACACACACCUCUCAUUGGUUCAUCCACCUUCAGUGUCCAGCCCCCCCGCCGUCCCCCUUCGGCCCUCCUGCACAUUCACACUCACGCUCUGACUCCUUGGAUCUGGGGCGGUGGGGGGGGGGGGGGCAGCCGGCGGGGGGGGGGGGCGCUGUUUGGUUUGGCGGGGACGGCGGGUCUUCCCGGAAAGCGUCCUGGCCCGCACCAUCACACCGGAGACUGCGGAACAUUCCGGGCGGCCCGCGCGCAGGUCGGACCGCGCUGUGAAAUCUCACCCCCCCCACCGUCGCCACGGCUCCCAGACCCCCCCGCCCCCCACCGCAGCAUCUGCACACCCUACGGACCGGAGCUCCUGGACGGGCCUGGCCUUCCGAGCGGAGUCCUCCCCGACUGGACCCCCCACCCCUGCCGAAAGCGUCCAGCUGGACCCUGAUAGAAUCACCACGCACCCCCCCCGGCGUUUUGGAUUCCCUGUCCGCUGUCUGCUCAGGCGAUAAUCAAGCCCCCCCCCCCUUUUCCUCUCCUCCCUGCGGUAAGCCACGGUGUGCUCUGUGUGCCGAUUGGAAGCCAGCGCCAGGUGAGUCACUGUCCCUGUGCAAACCUCAUUGGCCCCCGUGUCCCAGUUCCACCGGCCUACAGCACAACAGCCCCCCCUCCAGCCCAGCCUCCCCCCACCCCCCCUCCAUGUUUUCCCGCUGGAUAUUGGCAGAGGUGUGUCUCAGUCAACACUGAGCUUGGGCAGAAGGGGCGGGGGUCUGCUCCGGACUCCUGUUGUCAGUGAGCAGCGUCCUCAAAAAGGACCUCAUCGCCAAAGCUGAGGGCAACUGUCCUUCGCGGAAUGUUUCGCACGGUUUCCGUCGAUGCGUCAGUUCGCCUUCGCCGUGGACCUCAUGAGAACGGUCGUCGGGGGCGGGGCCGAAAUGACCGUGGGACCCUUUCUCCUCGCUCAGAAGGGACGUCCCAGCGUGGGGGUGGGACGGAGGUCAGAAUGACCCCUUUCAGACCGCUUUUCGACUUCGCACCUGUCAGGGUGACUGACUAGGAGGGAGGGGGGGGACUCAGAGGAGAAGACGAGGUUAGAACACGGCUGGGUUCAGCCAAAAGUUGCUUGGGGGGGGAAGUACAACCAGGACCCCCCCCCCCCCCCACCACUCAACGGCUAGAAAACCCAGAUAUCCCCCACAGGAUGACCUAAUGUCCAGCUUUAUUAGCAUGAGGACUUGAGCUCACUUAUCUGCACUCCUCAAGAACACUCCCCUGUACAGGAGCCCCACCGCUUUUCCCCUUUAUUCAUUUAUCUAUUUAUUUGUCUGUCGGUCUGCUGAGGACGUUCGGGAUGGUGAACGUUCUGUCUUACGCUGGAUGGAAUUGGGGAAUUGGGUUCACUGAGAGGGGGGAACUGAGAGCAGGGAUGGUAACGCACCUGUUUGUUUCAGUUUCAGUGCAGCUCCAUUCCUGCCGGGACUAUUGUGGGUUUUGUUUUGCACCCUGACACUUGCACUAAAGGGAAAACCUGUUGUGGUUGUCAAUGGAGGACUUGGAUCUGUACAUGUGUAAAUAGCGUGUGGGGGAGCGCAUGCGUGAGUGUUUGGUUGUGUGUUGAGCGCAUGCGUGAGUGUUUGGUUGCAUGUUGAGCGCAUGUGUGAGUGUGUGGGUGCGUGAGCGCAUGCGUGAGUAUGUGGGUAUGUCUGCGCAUGCGUGCUCUGGGUGUGUGUGAGCGCACGUGCAUUUAAUUUGGGGGUGGGGGGGUCAUAAGAUGCACUGUGCCGCCUGUACAGUUUUAGAAUAUCCCCCUCUCUGGGUUUACUUUGUCUCUUAGCCUGCCUUAAAACCCGAGCUCCAGUGUGACAGCCUAGCCGUGUUUGGCGUGCCCUGCUAGUGCCGUGUGUGGACAGAGUAGCAGAGGCCUGUGUGUCCCCUAGUGACCCCGAACACAUGUAAACUAAACUGUACCUUUCUAGAGGCAGCCUGCGCUAGGGGGAGCCGCCAUAUUAACCUGUGUGAUUUUGUCCUAGGAUGAGGGUGUAGUACGUCUUCCCUAAACUAGUUUAACCCCUCUGUUCAGACUUUUCGGGGGUGUUGGCAGUGACAACACUGCAGUCCAAAGCAGAGCUUUUUUUUUUUUGUUUGUUUGUUCACGAUGACGUGCGACUCCGACUCUCACCUCGCUGCGGACGGUGGCUGUUAAGGGACAAACGGAGGACACACUGGACUGAGCAGCGCUGGGGUAAUGGGCCUCUGUUGCCCUGGUACAGUGUCUUAAUGAGAAUCUCAACAGAGGCCAGCUUAUUUAUUUAUAGGGUCAGGGAAUUUGAAGAUGUGAAGAUGUGUCGAUGCGGUCGUCUGAAGAAGGCGGCCUCGUAUCUGUGGGGAGAGCAGCGUGAGAGGUGUGAUGUCACUGAUCGUGAUCGGACUCCUUCCUGAAAAUCAGGGAUUCUCGCUGCUCGGAAUUUAAAGAGCGAUUCCAAGGGAUGGACACAGGGACUGAAAUCGGGUGACCUAUAGGGAAAGUGUUUGUUUUAACACCAAAUGGAAGUUUUCUCUUUUUCUUUCCAAAUGUUUUCUUUCUUAAUUUUUGGUGACUUGAAUCCUGUUCUGCUGUUUGCCCUUAAAUGUUACAUACAGCCGGUGCUUAUCAUGUUUUGUUAUUAUUUAACGAUAACGAUAAAUUUUUCUUUAUUUAUUUUUUUUACCACCUGACCACACUGCUUUCCAUGUGUCUGUGAAAAACUGUUCUUACUGUGUGUUGAUGUAUUGCAGCUGAUCCCUUAUGCAAGCUCAAAGACUGUGUUUAAAUGUCUUUUUGUUCUUUUUUUGUUUUGUUUUUUUUUUACCACUGAUGCCAGUAAAACUAUUUAUCACAA